ACUAUUUAAGCUGCCAUAGUGGGUUGCUCGGAUUCCGGCGCUGGGAAUCAACAAGUUGGACAUCCACUCAGAGACCUAAUUUGAAAGUCGGUAAUUACAA